GACGAACGCUGGCGGCGUGCUUAACACAUGCAAGUCGAACGGAAAGGCCCUGCUUUUGUGGGGUGCUCGAGUGGCGAACGGGUGAGUAAAACGUGAGUAACCUGCCCUUGACUUUGGGAUAACUUCAGGAAACUGGGGCUAAUACCGGAUAGGAGCUCCUGCUGCAUGGUGGGGGUUGGAAAGUUUCGGCGGUUGGGGAUGGACUCGCGGCGUAUCAGCUUGUUGGUGGGGUAGUGGCUUAACAAGGCUUUGAAGGGUAGACGGCCUGAGCGGGGGACGGGCCACCCUGGAACUGGAACAGGCUCCAGACUCCUACGAGAGGGAGCAGUAGGCAAUCUUACGCAACGGGCGAAAGCCUGACGGAGCAACGCGGAGUGAGUGAUGACGGUCUUCGGAUCGUAAAACUCUGUUAUUAGGGAAGAACAAAUGUGUAAGUAACCAUGCACGGCUUGACGGUACCUAAUCAGAAAGCCACGGCUAACUACGUG
rnacentral:rRNA from 1 species